rnacentral:rRNA from 1 species
AAAUUGAAGAGUUUGAUCAUGGCUCAGAUUGAACGCUGGCGGCAGGCCUAACACAUGCAAGUCGAACGGUAACAGGAAGCAGCUUGCUGCUUCGCUGACGAGUGGCGGACGGGUGAGUAAUGUCUGGGAAACUGCCUGAUGGAGGGGGAUAACUACUGGAAACGGUGGCUAAUACCGCAUAACGUCGCAAGACCAAAGAGGGGGACCUUCGGGCCUCUUGCCAUCAGAUGUGCCCAGAUGGGAUUAGCUGGUUGGUGAGGUAACGGCUCACCAAGGCGACGAUCCCUAGCUGGUCUGAGAGGAUGACCAGCCACACUGGAACUGAGACACGGUCCAGACUCCUACGGGAGGCAGCAGUGGGGAAUAUUGCACAAUGGGCGCAAGCCUGAUGCAGCCAUGCCGCGUGUAUGAAGAAGGCCUUCGGGUUGUAAAGUACUUUCAGCGGGGAGGAAGGUGUUGUGGUUAAUAACUGCAGCAAUUGACGUUACCCGCAGAAGAAGCACCGGCUAACUCCGUGCCAGCAGCCGCGGUAAUACGGAGGGUGCAAGCGUU